rnacentral:lncRNA from 1 species
UUCAGUCUUGUUCAUGUAUUUUCAUAACAGAUGAGAGGAGCUUUGAAUUAGGAGAGGGCAGUGCCUAAGAAGAUUAGGAUAAUAUUCUAGUUGCAAAAUUUGCAUUGCAUUAUGAGCAUUCAUGUACCACAGAGAUGAGUGCAGAACAAGAACCUAGAUAGUAAUGCCAGUGCAGAAGAACUUGUGCUGUGUGAAGACGUUCUUGGAGCGCUGGUGGGAAGCCACAGUGAAAAGCAUCAGCAAAUCUCUUUCUGCUUGUGCUUGAAAUAUGGGCUCUGAGAUCACCGGGAUCUUCUUAGCCGGUCGUCUUCCUAUGUGACCAAUGUUCUAUUCAGAGAGGGGAUAUGAUUCUGGAAUAUGGACCCAGGCUGACACUGGAAUGAGGGUCAGGCAGAUUUGUACGUUGAAGAUACUGUUAAAUACUCCACUGAUGGCAUUGAAAAUCGAGCUCAGAGGCCUCUGGAUGAAAUUCGGCAGUGAUCCAUCAGUCCAUCUCAGAGAAGUACCCUGCAGAAAAGUAAUACAGAAGUUUAAUGAGAACUGCAGAGAGAACAGAACUGGGUUGUCCUUUUGUCUUCAUAACUGGCGAGGUUCACAAGGAAAUCAUUCUGAGCUGCACUGGAGAUGCUGGUGA